rnacentral:rRNA from 1 species
AUUGAACGCUGGCGGCAGGCCUAACACAUGCAAGUCGAACGAGUGGCGGACGGGUGAGUAAUGUCGGGGAAACUGCCUGAUGGAGGGGGAUAACUACUGGAAACGGUAGCUAAUACCGCAUACCAUGAGGUGUGCCCAGAUGGGAUUAGCGAGUGGGUGGGGUAACGGCUCACCAAGGCGGCGAGCCGUAGCUGGUCUGAGAGGAUGACCAGCCACACUGGAACUGAGACACGGUCCAGACUCCUACGGGAGGCAGCAGUGUGGAAUGUUGCACAAUGGGCGCAAGCCUGAUGCAGCCAUGCCGCGUGUAUGACGAAGGCCCUCGGGUUGUAAAGUACUUUCAGCGGGGAGGCGUUACCCGCAGAAGAAGCACCGGCUAACUCCGUGCCAGCCGCCGCGGUAAUAC